UAGCAUUACCGGGUUGUCAUGCGUUGC
rnacentral:piRNA from 1 species